UUACAGCGCCGGGCGUCACUCGGUGCUCGGCCGAACCACUCGCCCACCCGCCGCGGGGGGGGAGAAAGGGAGCGAGCCGCGGCCUCUCCCAAGUGCGGCCGCGGGGCUCGCUGUCGGAAUCCCCUCUCCCCCCUCCCCUCCGCUGUCCCGUUGGUUUCGCCCAGCGCGGCCCUUAGCGACGGCGGGGGCGCCGAGGGAAGAUGGCGGCUCCGUGACCGCGCCGCCGCCGGCUCCUGCUCCCCUGCCCCGCGCCUGCCGCCCGCCCUCCCUGCCGGGGCCGGGGGCCAUGUCGGACUCGGACUCUGAGGAGGGCCCGGACCGCCAGCUCAAGCUCGUGGUGCUGGGGGACGGCACCUGCGGCAAGGGCUUUUGUGAGGCUCUCAGUCUUCCCCCCAUACAUACAUCCUUAGCCACACGUUUUGCCCAAGAAACUUUUGGAAAACAGUACAAACAAACCAUAGGACUGGACUUCUUCUUGAAAAGGAUAAUAUUGCCAGGAAAUUUGAACGUUACUCUUCAAGUGUGGGAUGUUGGGGGGCAAACAAUAGGAGGCAAGAUGCUGGAUAAAUAUAUUUAUGGAGCUCAGGGUAUUCUUUUGGUUUAUGAUAUUACCAACUGCCAGAGCUUUGAAAAUUUAGAGGACUGGUAUAAUGUGGUAAAAAAAGUGACUGAAGAAUCAGAAACACAGCCACUUGUGGCCUUGGUUGGAAAUAAAAUUGAUUUGGAGCACAUGCGUACAGUGAAAGUUGACAAGCACCAACGAUUUUGUCAGGAAAACAAUUUCAGUAGCCAUUUCGUGUCGGCCAAGACAGGAGAUUCUGUCUUCCUGUGUUUUCAGAGAAUUGCUGCUGACAUCCUUGGCAUCAAAUUAAACAAAGCAGAAAUGGAACAAUCACAGCAUGGCAGUGUUUACAAUCUGUGUGGAAGUGGUCAAGAAAACUGUAUCACAAGCAGUAAAAUGGCAAAAUAGCGUGCACAUCUAACAAGUAAAGCAGAAAAGCUUCAAAAAGCUAUGAUUUAUAAGUAGAGAAAUAUGGAGCAUAUAUUUUUAAUAUUCUUUUACUACUUAGUCAUCAUUUUUCUGUUGUUCUGAACCCUAUAAUGGUUUGUACUUAAAUAAUUUAUCACAAAUAUUCUUUAAUUUUUCUUUGGAUGUUUAGCUUGGAUUGGAACAGUAGACUCAGAUCUGUCUGUGCUAUUGUGUCCUCAUAACUCAGGUGUAAACUUGUAGAUAGGUAUGAAAAUGCCUUCAAUUAUAAAGAGAACAUGGGGAAUGAGGUUAUACAGAAUAUUGUAGCUUUCUAAAGAAAGUGUCUGUUUAUAGGUUAUUUUUAAGGUAACUGAUACUGGCUUUUUCCUUUUUACCUUAGUAUAAUAAUCACAAUUUUUAAUUAUGUUGACCAGAUCAAUGGAAUAUAAAAUAUGAGGAUAGGACAAGGUUGAUAUUAAGCAAAUUUCAGUAGCAAUAGCCUCUAAAUAAUGUGCAUAAUAUAAAUACUCACUGUGGCCCACACAUUACUGGUAAUGUGAAUCCAAGCUGUCAGAAUUAAAAAAUAAAUAAAUCUGAACAUAAACAGUAAAACCAAUAACAAAAGAAGAAACAAAGCCUGUAAAUGGAAGUGGAUAGAAAAGAAACUUAAUUGUCUCAUCAUUCAGGUACAGCAGAAGUCACUAUAUGGUGAUAUGCUUCAUGUAGCUAAAGGGUGUAAAGAAACUUGUCUUUGAAAGCUUCUUCUGAUCAACCAUAGUAUCAAUCUAUUCUGAAUAAGCAAUAAUUUGUUGUUAACGGUAUAAUGUUUGCUCCCUUUGAGAGUGCUAUUUUGAGUGGGCAGUAGCAAUUGUCCAUAAUUAAGUCAAUGAGAAACCAAUGAUAAUCGUAUUUGAGAGUCCGUCUGUUAGCUUUAUCUUAAGGUUCAUUGUUGUUCAUUUGGUAUGGAACCAAAUAGUCUGGUCACUUCCUAAGAACAGGAAGGAAAAGUCUUCUUAAAAUUGGGGAAGGAAAAUGUUAACCUUCACAGCUUCAGAGAGAGAAAUAGAAGGAUGUUUCUUGAGAGAAAUGUAUUAGUCUGCAGUGGAAAAGCCUACCUGAAGUAAUGUGUAGAUGCUGUUAUCCAAAAGCAUGGAUCUGGUCUUUUGGCUGGGAGGAGGUGAUGUUAAAUGAUAUUACCAUUACUUGGGUACUGGUUUACUACAAAUGUUUUUGUAUAAUAGGUACAGAUUCUAUAGUGUGCGUAAUGGGGGGAUGUUUGCUUUUAAAUUUCUCUCAAGUGGGCAUUAGGCUUCCUUAAAUUGUAGAAUGGCUAUAUGGUCAUGCUCCUAAAAAUUUCUGGGACUUUAAUAUUCUACCUAUUGUGCUAUAAAAGUAGAUAGAUGGGUAGAUGCUAUAAAGGAACAAAACAAAACACAAAAAUAAGUGUGGCGUAUCCUUAUCUCAGUAAAUACGUGAGUAAUGAAUUGAAUUUCAUCUUUGAUCAAAGAGUAGAACACAUUUUAGUUUUACAAGAGUGCACUGUUUACUACCUGGAUUAUAUCUUUGAAUUUUCAGUAUUUUGUGUAAUGUGAGGUUUCUUCAUUUUGGAAAAUAAGAAGGUGUCUGCUUGAGUAUGUUUGUCAGAGAACAUCAGAUGUCUUAAUUCAGUCUAGGAGGUGACAAAGUGUAAAGUGAAACACUGAGUUUGAGUAAAACACGAACAGUGGAACACUGUGUGCUAGUUACAAUCUGUUAUGUAUUUAUUAAUUAUUACUGAUUGUCUAAUAUUGAGAGUAUUGUUUAAAAAUCAUUUCUAGCACUUGUGAUUCUAUGUCUGAAGAUGCUGUUUUCUUUGUUUAGAAACCUAUUCUAAUUGUUGAAGUCAGUAAGAGGACCCUAGAAGUGAGUCACUUGGUUGGAAACAAUAGGAAUCCUAAACACGUUAUUGGAACUGGUGUGAAUUUGGGGGGGUUGACUCAUGUCUUCUGAGCUUUGAUAACUUGCAGAACUGCAGCAAUCCAUGUGAAAGUAGAUUGGGUACUUGGUCCCCUUCAAAUUAACGGCUAAACCAUUAAUUAAGUGCAAGAACAAACCAUAGCAAUUGAACUAUUUACCAUGCAUUGUUAUAGAAAAUGGCUGCAGCAGUUUAACAUGUAAAUGCGACCAAAGCUAUUUGUUACUGCCCUUUUCCUGGAAUUUAUCGCUCCCACAGCAGAAUCACAAAAUGGAAGGCAAUCAUGUGCCUUGGCCACAUCAGGGUGAAGUUCAGCAGCUUAGCUUAAACUGCUGAUGAAAGUUAUUUUUAAGUGAAGUUGCCAGACUUUGUGCUGAAGCGGAUGAGGUGCAAGUACACGUUACAUUCCACCAGCUUUCCUUUGGCAGCAGUGAUCUCCAGCAGAGGACUGGAACAGACAUUUGGGGGUGAGGGUGGUGAAGGCAGAUAUUGUCAACUACAGUCAGGAGCCUGUGACAAGAACCGUUAAUCCUCCUAGAAGCUCAAUGUGUGCAGUUCAAUGACCAUAUUAUUUCCCUUUGGUUUGAUACCUUUGACUGUUCUCCUACCUUGACACAGGCUCUGGGAUUUCCAGGAACUUUUAACAGUGACCAUCGCUACAAUGCAAUUCAAAAACGUGUUGUACCAUUGUUCAUUGAGAAGCAGCAGGCAUUUUUUUGACCGGCUGAAAUGAAAUGUUAGACCACACACUUUGAAAAAUUGAAGUCUAUAUUCUUUUAAAUUAUAUUUCAAUAAAACAGUAUAACUGUGUUUAUAAGUUUUCUCCUACCUGUUUGACUGGUACUGGAAUACAAAUGGAUGAAGAAGUCCUGCAUUUGAAAGCUUUUAAAAGCAUCACUACGGAAGGGUAUUUUGCCAAAGUGGUUUUUUAUUUUUUUCUUUGUCUUUUUUUUGCUCCUGUGAUCUAAACUAACAUUCAGCAAACUGUUACUUGGAAAAGCUAUUGCUGGAAUAAUUUUAGACACUAAUAUAUUUUAUCAGGAUAAUUUGGAAAGUACUCCAUAAAUAUAUCUACAUAGUGCGAAAUGUAUAAAUUGUAUCCAGGAAGAAGCAGUGCUUGAAAUAAAGCUGUAAUAUAAAAAUAGUUACUUUUCUGAAGUCUCAAAUUGUCUUCAUGGAUGCUCUGGAAAAUGCUAAUGUUUUAUGUAUUUUUAUUAAGCACAUCAGCAUUACUUCUUGCAGCAGCAGAUAGGCUCAUAUGUCUUCAUGAAUAUGGAUGAACCUCAGUCGGCAGUUUGGGCUGUAAAUGUUGAGUGAUAUAUUCAGCAUGCAUUAGAAACUGUUGAUAGAUCAAUUAGGAUCAGUCAUUUUUAAUAACUAAUUGAAUGACUUACUUUUGGACUGGUAUUCUUUUCUUUCUAGUUCAGAGUAAAAAUAAAAGCUGUCUCCUUUGUGAUCAUCA